GAUGAACGCUGGCGGCGUGCCUAAUACAUGCAAGUCGAGCGAACGGACGAGAGGCUUGCUUCUCUGAUGUUAGCGGCGGACGGGUGAGUAACACGUGGAUAACCUACCUAUAAGACUGGGAUAACUUCGGAAAACCGGAGCUAAUACCGGAUAAUAUUUUGAACCGCAUGGUUCAAAAGUGAAAGACGGUCUUGCUGUCACUUAUAGAUGGAUCCGCGCUGCAUUAGCUAGUUGGUAAGGUAACGGCUUACCAAGGCAACGAUGCAUAGCCGACCUGAGAGGGUGAUCGGCCACACUGGAACUGAGACACGGUCCAGACUCCUACGGGAGGCAGCAGUAGGGAAUCUUCCGCAAUGGGCGAAAGCCUGACGGAGCAACGCCGCGUGAGUGAUGAAGGUCUUCGGAUCGUAAAACUCUGUUAUUAGGGAAGAACAUAUGUGUAAGUAACUGUGCACAUCUUGACGGUACCUAAUCAGAAAGCCACGGCUAACUACGUG
rnacentral:rRNA from 1 species